rnacentral:rRNA from 1 species
ACGAACGCUGGCGGCGUGCUUCACACCUGCCAGUCGAACGGAAAGGCCCUGCUUUUGUGGGGUGCUCGAGUGGCGAACGGGUGAGUAACACGUGAGUAACCUGCCCUUGACUUUGGGAUAACUUCAGGAAACUGGGGCUAAUACCGGAUAGGAGCUCCUGCUGCAUGGUGGGGGUUGGAAAGUUUCGGCGGUUGGGGAUGGACUCGCGGCUUAUCAGCUUGUUGGUGGGGUAGUGGCUUACCAAGGCUUUGACGGGUAGCCGGCCUGAGAGGGUGACCGGCCACAUUGGGACUGAGAUACGGCCCAGACUCCUACGGGAGGCAGCAGUGGGGAAUAUUGCACAAUGGGCGGAGGCCUGAUGCAGCAACGCCGCGUGCGGGAUGACGGCCUUCGGGUUGUAAACCGCUUUCGCCUGUGACGAAGCGUGAGUGACGGUAAUGGGUAAAGAAGCACCGGCUAACUACGUG